ACUCUUCUCUCUCCUGCUGCCAUGUGAGAAGGUCCAAGCUUACUUUCCCUUUGCCUUCCAACAUGAUGGUCCUGCUGAGGAUCCCUGGUGCCCAGUAGGGAACACCGUGAGGAGGAGGAUUAAGAAAGGCACCCUUUCCACUGAUUUGCAUCGCCAUUUGUACAUGGAGUUUGGCUACAGCAAAAUCCGUUGCUAUCUCACCAGCUACAAGAAGCAAAGAACGAAUUGCAAUUCAUUUUUGUGCUCUAGGACCCGGUUGAGGAACACACCCUUCAAAGUGCUAAUGCUGUUCCAGCUCAGCAGACACCUCGUCUCGGGAAAGCCAUUAGAAACCCCCAAAAUACUACAUUUUUCUCCUGAGCUUUGAACCCUGAACCCAGCAUUCUGAGAGUGGGAACCAGAAAUGUGCAUUUGAAAAGACUCCCCAGGCAAUUCUGAUGAGGAGCCAGUGAGCCUGCUGAACCAGGUGACUACUGACAUCUCUUCUUUGAGUGACUUUCGACCAUCCCACAAAUGUCUGCUCGACGGUGUCCUGGAAGAGCUGGGUCAUGGCUCUCAUUACACACUACUCAGCAUCAUACACCAGGUUGUAUCACACAUCUCAUUCACACUACUGAGCAUCAUACACCAGGCUGUAUCACACUUUGUCCGGACUUCAUGAGUCUUCCAGUACAGUGAUGGGACGUAGGUUUUCUAGACUUGCCUAUGGGCUUCUCCUCUUUCCUAAUGAAGCUUCCACUCAUCCAAACGUCCUUUGAGGAGGAAAUUUAUCCAACUCACUCCACUGCAAAAGCUGGAGAACUGACAAGAUUCUUCCUGACCACUUCAGUGGCUAUGAUUAUAGGCAGUAUUGUGGUUUUCAUUUGCAAAAUGAGGAAUAAAGCUGCAGACAUUUCCAGUACUAGAAAUGGUCUGUUUGUAGCAUGAAGGUGCAUAUUCAUUUCUUUUUCUUUUUUCCUGACCCUUAAUCAUUUAUUACAUUUUUCUCCUGUUAAACAAGCUAUAUAGGCUGAAUACAAAGAAGUUUGAAAACACAGAAAGGUAAAAAAAUUAAAUUAAAUUAAGAUCAUCUGAAAUGUUAACUUCAAGAGAAAGUUAACAACUGUGAGCAUUCUGGUUUGUAUAUUCUUGCAGUCUUAUUUAAUUAAUUGCAUUUAUGUACUUUAAAAAAAGUAGAAUUAUAUUGUAUAUAUGGCUUUGAUUUCUUAAAAAUUAACAUUGUGAACAUGUGCAAGGAGUGUUUCUUAAAUUGCUCUUUCCAUUGUCACUUUUACUGGAGAUUAAAGUCUCAAAGUACAUUUUUUGACUUAGCAGAGGGAGAGCUGAGAUGUCUCAUUAAAGCUUGGCCGAGCGCCUUCUGUUACUGCUUAUUUACAUAAGUAGCUUUCCUAAAAUCAACGGCUCCCAUGAACAAGACAUAUAUAUUAAUGCCUCACAGUCCAAUAUAUGAUGAGAUAAAUGACCACUGCUUCCUUAUAUAAUGCGCACACACUUGCCUGAGACAAGUCAGCUGUUCUGAAACACAAGAUUAGGAAAUUCAAUUUCAUGUAUACAUUUCCAUGAAUCAAAAGUCAAAAUCAAAGGACAACCUUCUGUGUUACAGUGAACUCUGGAAGUAAGUGUAAAUAAGAUAAUAAGAUAUGCCCUACUUUGUUGUCAUCUUUUUUUUUUUUUUUGCUUUUUGUUUUUUGUUUGUUUUGAGAUGGAGUCUCACUCCGUCACCCAGGCUGGAGUGAAGUGGUGCAAUCUCGGCCCACUGCAACCUCCACCUCCUGGGUUCAAGCAAUUCUCAUGCCUCAGCCUCCCAAGUAGCUGUGAUUACAGGCGUGUGCCACCACGCCUAGCUAAUUUUUUGUAUUUUUACUAGAGACAGGGUUUCACCAUGUUGGCCAGGCUGGUCUUGAACUCUUAACCUCAGGUGAUCUGCCUGCUUCAGCCUCCCAAAGUGCUGAGAUUACAGGUGUGAGCCACUACACCUGGCCAGCUAUGCCCCACUUUGAACAAACAUUGCUAGAAUCUGGAAGAAUCUUCUGUUAGCCAAGGAUUGCUUUUGAGGUUCACUCCAAAAACUGAGCUACCACCGGGGACAAAUGGUCUCAUAAUUUUGAGUGUGUAAAGUGCAGCGAUUCCAGCUCAUGAGCACUAAUAUAAUUUUGGAAACAAUAUACCCACAACAGGCAUCGUCUAGAAAACUAACAGGAUCUCUUUUCCACUAGAGUGUAUUGUUGUUGACUAAGUGUUUUCAGUUAUUAAGCUGGAAGAGACAUGCUGGGGAGAAUGCUUUGGAGGAACAAGUAAGCACAGAACACAGAGAAUCAGGAAUGAAGCAUCCACACAGUCCAUCCAAGCAUACUGUGAAUCAAAACACAUGUCAUAGCUGGAACGAAAGCAUUAGGACCAUCUAACUGGAUUCCACUGGAAUGAGUCUCUGUGAAACCAUGCCGAAGUCUUUGUAAACAACCACCCUAAAGAAAGCUACAUGAAGAAUAGCCAAUAACAAAAGCACUGGAUUUAACUCAAUUUUGUGAAAAAACAAAAAAAACAAAUAUGAUGCACACACUCUAUCCUUUUGUGAACAAAAUGCCACCAAACAUUUGAAACUGGCCUAAGCAUACAUUGACAUGUUUGACAUGAAGCCCAGCCUUAUUGAUCAGCCUUUCCAAUACCCCCCGCCCCCCAUUCUUUAUUCCCAAUAGAUACAUCUUCUCACAGUUUCCAUGGCAAGAGGAAAAUAAAAGGCAACUGUUUUGAAAGCAACAACAGUAAACGAAGCAACAUCUCUGGCAAGCAGGCAAACCUUAAAGAGUAAAAGUUAUAAAUCCCCAUGUAGACAAUACCUUGUAGGUAUACCUUCCCCCAACCACGGGGAUGACUCUUAAUGGUGCUGACUAGGUAUAGACACCAACUUGGGACCAGUAAGUUAUUCUUAGAAGGUGCUAACUUUUGUAUUUUCUUUUAGGUUCUUGCUGCUAUGUUUCUCUUUCAAUUGACUUCCAGAAAUCAGACAGUGAAAUCAAUGGGGCUUUCCAGGCCACUGAAUUCAAAGUAAUCAGGGCAGGGUCAGAAUGCUGAUUGACUGUUUUCAACACACAGGGACCUGGAAUUUGGGUUCUAGCUCUAUCCCUCAGCACAGAGUCAGCAGACACAAUGCCCUAGAUGGUUGGAUUUUCUAGUGUCUGUGACAGGCAUCUUCAAAGCUGAUUCCUCUCCCUCUGAGAAAUCAAGGCCACCACCUUUAACUACUGACACAGUAGUGUACUUCCCGUACUGCAACCUCAGUCCCUUUUGUCACUUUUGCUUUGCAUUCAAGUGCCUUGGCCAGUGUUAACUGCAGCACUUUGAUUUCUCUUUCUAUAAAGACUAUCAAGUACCAAGUCAUUUGUUUCUGCAACCAUGUAACCCAAGGACAUAUUCUCCUGGAUGAAAUUCCAAGACCCCCCCCGCCACCAGAAGUCAGUGGAGAAUAGGCACAGAAAAGAUGAUGAAGGUCAUAGUUUCUAAUAAUUUGUUUUCUUUUUAAAAAAAAUUUUUAAUUUUUAUUUUUUUGAGACAGAAUCUCACUCCGUCACCCAGGCUGGGGUAUGGUGGCAUGAUCUCGGCUCACAGCAACCUCUGCCUUCCAGGUUUAAGUGAUUCUCCUGCCUCAGCCUCCUGAGUAGCUGGGAUUACAGCCGCAUGCCACCACGCCCAGCUAAUCGUUUGUAUUUUUAGUAGACACGGGGUUUCACCAUGUUGGCCAGACUGGUCUCGAACUCCUGACCUCAAGCGAUCUACCUGCCUUGGCCUUCCAGAGUGCUGGGAUUACAGGCAUGAGCCACCAAGCCCAACCAGUUUUCUUUCCUUUUUUUUUUUUUUUUUUUUUUUUUUUUCCUUUUUAAGGGAGGGGAUUCCCUCAGUGGGUUUACUUAGAGUGAAACGGUAUCUUGGCUUUGGACUUGCCCCUGCCUUCAUUCAUGUGGGUACUUUUUAUUUAACUUUUCAUUGUAGGUAGGCUCCCCUCUACCUAAAAAACCAAAGGGAAAAACCCCAAUUCUUUAAUUUACUCACAUCCUGUUACGCUUUCACAAGCUGUUCAUUUUCAUACCAAGCCUCAUCUUCUGCUGCCAACAUCCUAGUUUGAAGGAAAGGGGGAGACAGGUCAACUGGUAGUGGUCCUGUCCUCAAAGGGAGAGAACUCCUGGGUACCUCUUUCCAGCAGCCCUAGGCUAUUUCAAAAUGUCAGCAGGUCUAAUCCUAGAAGAAAACACCAUUUACUUCUCAACCUGCUGGGGCAUGGUGAGGUCUAAACAAUACAUUAACCAACAAAAUCUGCCAGUUCCUGAGAACUGCCAGAGAACUGCCUGAGAACUCAGAGAUAAACAGUAAGAGGUAUGGUCAACCUUCAGGGGAAUGAAGAGACUAUCUCAAUGCAGCAAAAAUAAAGGAAUUAAUGUGCUCUGCAGCUUUAGAAAGGAACUCUCCUUCCUGGGGGUGCCUCCGUGUCCCUGGCUCUAGGAGACUACCUAACCAGCAAGGUUGAUAGCAUGACCCUGGCUCCACUGAAAACUUGGGCCUAUAGACUGUCUUAUUCUAAAGGGUGCUUUUUAAUUCUAAUUUUUUUUUAAUUUUUAUUUAUUUUUUUUUGAGACAAGUUCUCACUCUGUUGCCCAGGAUGGAGUGCAGUGAUGCCAUUUAGGCUCACUGCACUUUUGACCUCUCAGGUUCAAACAACUCUCUCACCUCAGCCUCCUGAGUAGUGGGGACUACAGGCAUUCACCACCAUGCCCGGCUAAUCUUUUUUUUUUUUUUUUUUUUUUUGUAGAGACAGGUUUUUGCCAUGUUGCCCAAGCUGAUCUUGAACUCCUGGGCUCAAGCGAUCCACUUGCCUCAGCUGGGACUAUAGGUGUGAGCCACCGUGCCCACUCGAACCACUGGUCUUUUAAUGUUUUCAGCUCCAGCUGGCAAACCCAUUACCUGCUCUUCCUAGGCAGCAUCCCUUGGUCACUAUCCAGCCAUCUGUUACUGCCAAAGCAAAAGUCCAUGGCCCUCGAAGUGUGGGAACUCUGGCCAUCGGCUACUUAUCAUUUUGCCCUCUGAAAUCCUUAUAUUUCUUUCUGAAUUCACACACUCAGAAUUGGCAGUAUAUUCUUAAGCUAUGAAGUCCUCCACUAUAUGCCCAUCCCAAAAACCUAAGCGAGUAAGAUUAUUUAAUCUAGGAAAUGGUUAUUUACUCUAUAGAAAUCUGAUCUUCUCAUUGCCCAAUAACCAUGGAAUGCUGAAGAGUUGCCUCAGAUGGCAGGGAGCCUGCAUGCUAGCUCACACACUAUCCCUAAUAGCCAUUUAAUUUUGGGAAAAGACCCGUCUUUUCUCUGGACUUUAGUUUUCUCCUCUUUAGAAAUAAGAAGCUGGUUAGCCAAUCAGUCAUGUCUCUUUCAGGUAUAUGUUCUACGCUUUGCAACUGCAAAGUUGACAAUCUGAGAAUGUGUGCACGCCAAAGGGGCUUAAAAAAUAAUAUUAUCUAACACUUAAGCACUUGAUGUGUAUUAACUCAUUUAAUCCUUCAAUAACCAUAUGAGGAGUGGAGCUCCAAGAUAAUCUCUUACCCUGCCCUUCUUACUCAUUAACUUUAAUUUCCAAAAAAUGCCGCCGAUACCAUUCAAACACUAGUUCAGGAAUUACCACGUGCUGGGCACUGUACUGGGUGCUGGAGAUACUGAGAAGAAGAAACAUGAUCUGUUCUCAGGAAGCUCACAAUAUGGUGAAUGUGAUAAUUAAGGUCAUGAUUAAACAAAGCAGGAAGUACUCCAAGAAAGGUGAGCAAGGCAUUACAGGUAUGCAGAGGAUUGCUUGACCCAACCUGGAAGAAUCCAGAAAAACUCAUCCAAGGCUGGGCACAGUAGCUCAUGCCUGUAAUCCCAGCACUUUGGGAGGCUGAGGUGGGCGGAUUGCCUGAGGUCAGGAGUUCAAGACCAGCCUGGCUAACAUGGUGAAAACCCAUCUCUACUAAAAAUACCAAAAAAUUAGCCAGUUAUGUUGGCGUACGCCUGCAGUCUCAGCUACUCGGGAGGCUGAGGCAGGAGAAUCGCUUGAACCCCCCGGGAGGUGGAGGUUGCACCGAGCCAAGAUCAUGCCAUGCACUCCAGUCUGGGCAACAGAGGGAGACUCUGUCUCAAACAAAACCCAUCCAAGAGCCAAGAAGAGGUUAUGCUUGACCUGAACCUUAAAAUACAAGUAGCUGUCAUUUUGGGGGAGUCCAAACAAUGGAUGGGUUGAUGUGGAUACAGCAAAGGACAUAAUUAAAGAGUCAUGGCCAGAUCAUGAAGGAUUUUGUUCCUCGGGCUAAGAAAUUUUAGCUUUACCUUAAAGUAGAGGAGCUACCAAUUCCGAGCUACAGCGAGGAAUCGUAAUAUAGCAUUGUAUCAUGUAUGAAAGGACAAAAUUCAUGCUACUUUCCUAAAAGUAAGAUUCUGUGUCCCCGUUUGCUUCAUCUAAUAUUGCUUCUUGGCCCCAGCAAUAGCACACAGAGCACCGGAAAACUAGUUCAGGCUUAUCACCAAUUCCUGAAGCCAGUCUACCUCUCCAGGACACUUAGAGCCAUGACCUUCUCCAAGCUCUCCAAGAUCGCUGUGCUUGUUGCAUAUUCUGGUCUGCAGAAGGUGAAAGGGUACUAAUCAUCCUAGAAGCCUUCCUGGAACAGGAUCUCUUUGCCUAGGGUCAUAAAAUGAGGGAUCCAGAUGGUACAGGGAAGUGUAAAUGGCAGUUGGAGAUGGGACAACAGUAAGUGCAGAGGCAGAGACACAGGUCAGCAGACCCCACAUGUGACAUGUCAAGUACAGGGAGUAGGGGAAGAGGUGGGAGACAUGGUACAAGAAGUCAAAAGAUCCACUGGUUCCCUGUAUUCCAUGAAAACGUUACUGUACAGAAUAUUACACAUUUCCAAGUUGGAGACACUAAAAUACAAAGGUACAAAUUGUCUAAGCGCAGAUAUGAGGCAGUGGCAAAUUAAUAAAACAAAUCACAUGCCUGUUUCUAACCUGUUUACCAUGGCCAAGAAGAGUCUGUGAAAUCAAGUUAGACAUUCUGUCUUUGAAAUCAUGCAUUCACAGAACUUAUGGAAGCUUUCAAGUGGAAAUGUCUUUACUCUUUAAAAAAAAAAAAAAAGCUCAAGUAAUGCCCUAAUCAUCUCUUAUUAUUGUUUGUAUCUGCAGGAUUUGGAAACUGCUCAGGAAAACAACUGGAUUCCUAAUAAUCCCUGAACAAUUCUUUUUUUUUUUCUUUUCCUGUGGACAUUAGCCUUUUAAUUUUUCCACAAGGAAUUCUGGGCCAAUUUAACUAAUAAAUAAUAACAGAAUUUUCUAAGUGCAUGGUACUUUUGCUUUAUCUGAUUUCAUGGCUUUCCUGUUCCAUGACAACCCACUGUCUUUUCCCUCACAUGUAUGUUUUAUGAUGGUUUUUUCAGGCAUUUGAAAAAGCUUUAACACUUUCACUCAAGCUAAGACACCUCAAUUUUCAUUAGUGACUUUAUUGUCCAGGAGGUGUUACAGAGACUACCAAAUAGUUUCAAAAUUACUUGCUCAGUCACGAUGCCCACAGUUGACUCUCAGCCUAGCAAAAGAGAAGAAAAGAAGUUCUUGUGUUUACU
rnacentral:lncRNA from 1 species